rnacentral:lncRNA from 1 species
ACUCAGUCUUCAUGGGGUAUUGUCUUCACAAUCAUUACCUUAGAACACAAGACUGGGAUAAUUAUUUGUUGUUUUUUUCCCACCUCAGUUGAAAGCUUUAUGCAUUGGUGAAGGGAUCUUCGGGAGCACAGGAAAUGAUGAUAAGAAGAGAUGCUGGGAAAUUCUCCAGAACUAGGAAACAGCCUGAAACAAGAAUAUAGACUAGAAGAGUCCUGGAUUCUGUGUCAGAAAGUCUCCAGUUGGACCAGUACCACCAUGGAUAGCUCAGAGCCCCUGCACAAGGUAUUGGAUCUCACACCUCACAACUGGAGUUCAGACCUCACAGGAAUGUCAUGGGGAACUAAUGAAGUAAAAGUACAUUUAACCACCAGACAAUGCCAAAUACUUUAUUAAAGUCUGGAAACAUUUUCCCCUUGCCAGAAGAAAACUGAGGAACAUACUGUAAAUCAUUAAAUUAGAAAUGAACAUUGUCCUUUAAUAAAAACUUAAAAGUUGUAAUUAAAUAUAUGUGGAUAUUAAUGAGUCAACAGGACAAAUGGAAAAAAUCCCAGUCCCCAGUAAGUACAUGGCAUAAUGGGACACACUACUCUGAGCUAGUCUUUGAAAAGCCUUUAGAAAUGGAAAUCCUGUGUACCACUAUCCAAUGAUUCAUUCACUCAUUCGACAAUUACCUUUUGUGGGCUAACUUUAUGCCAGGCAAUGUGCAAGGUUCUAGAAAUAUAAAACAUAAAGGCAGCCCACAUGAAUAUAAUCCUACUGGAUCGUAUACUGUUUGGGAUUAAACAGAGAUAAUGGUGGGUGCCUCUCCAAUCUCUUCUCCCCAAUAAUUUUUCCUAAAUUAAUCUCUCUCUCUCUGUCUCUCUCAUUCCCAGGUGGAUGAAGUUGCCCAGAUGCAUUCCAGAGCAAAUACCUCCUUCUCUUUAAGGUAAAGGCAGGUUAACCAAAUUAACCUUAAUAUUUAGAAGUGGAGUAACAAAAUGUGGAAGCACAGUGCUCUGUUUGCCUUUAGUCCCACCCCAGAGGACCAGCCUGGGAACCUAAGAAGGAUCUGUGCCUGGACUCUUGAUGUGUCAAGUCACUGUUAUCUAGUUACUACUGGUUUAUCCCUUCCCUUCAGAAUCCAGAAGGGCUUUGAAUCUAAUGCUUCCAGUCCCGAAGAGGUUAAAAGCAGUUGCAUAGGGAAACAGCCAUCCUUGCCAUAACUGGAUCUCCCACUAGGAUGCUUUCAUGUAGGAUGCAUGAGAUUUAUUCUCUGGGGUUCUUCUGAGACUGCCCAUCCAUUUUCUCCACUCAAAGUUUGCUUUUGCCAGAGAAGGGAUUUUUGGAUUUUCUUCAAAGAUCGUUGCUGCUUAUGGUUCACCCUUAAACUAAGUUCCAGAUGGGAAAUCUGAUGGUCCCAGAUCCAGAGUGAGUUAGCCUGGAUUUAGAUCUGUGUUCCUCCCACAGAUCUGCCCACUAAGGACGGGAAAUCACAAGAUGGCAACAGGAUUUAGUAGCAAAUAUCCUGGGUUGGGUGUUAGGAGGCUGGAUUCCAGCACCCCUAAUGCAAGUUGUCUACCUUGAGCAAGUUACUUUUUUCACAAUGAGCCUCAGGCCAGGCAAACUAGGGUAUGUGCGCUUUACAUACCCUUCCAGAAAUGAAUCAUGGUUCGAGUUCCAGCAGAACAAGCAAGGUGACAUUAUACUUUUAG